GCAGCGACGCCGCGUGAGCGAUGAAGCCCUUCGGGGUGUAAAGCUCUUUCGGCAGGGAAGAUAAUGACGGUACCUGUAGAAGAAGCUGCGGCUAACUACGUGCCAGCAGCCGCGGUAAUACGUAGGCGGCAAGCGUUGUUCGGAAUUACUGGGCGUAAAGGGUGCGUAGGCGGUUCUCUAAGUUUGGUGUGAAAUCUCCCGGCUCAACCGGGAGGGUGCGCCGAAAACUGGGGGGCUUGAGUGUGGGAGAGGAAAGUGGAAUUCCUGGUGUAGCGGUGAAAUGCGUAGAUAUCAGGAGGAACACCUGUGGUGUAAACGGCUUUCUGGACCAUUACUGACGCUGAGGCACGAAAGCGUGGGUAGCAAACAGGAUUAGAUACCCUGGUAGUCCACGCCCUAAACGAUGCAUACUUGGUGUGGGCCAUUCAUUUGGUCCGUGCCGGAGCUAACGCGUUAAAUAUGCCCCCUGGGGAGUACAGUC
rnacentral:rRNA from 1 species